GUACGGGAGGCAGCAGUGGGGAAUAUUGCGCAAUGGGGGAAACCCUGACGCAGCGACGCCGCGUGGGUGAUGAAGGCCUUCGGGUCGUAAAGCCCUGUCGUAGGGGAAGAACUGGUGGACGGCUAAUACCCGUUCGCCUUGACGGUACCCUACAAGAAAGCACCGGCUAACUCCGUGCCAGCAGCCGCGGUAAUACGGAGGGUGCGAGCGUUGUUCGGAAUUACUGGGCGUAAAGCGCGUGCAGGCGGCCGACUAAGUCCGGUGUGAAAGCCCGGGGCUCACCCCCGGAAGUGCGCUGGAAACUGGUCGGCUAGAGUACGGGAGAGGGAAGCGGAAUUCCUGGUGUAGCGGUGAAAUGCGUAGAUAUCAGGAGGAACACCGGCGGCGAAGGCGGCUUCCUGGACCGAUACUGACGCUGAGACGCGAAAGCGUGGGGAGCAAACAGGAUUAGAUACCCCAGUAGUCG
rnacentral:rRNA from 1 species